GGGUUGUGAGGUUAAGCGACUAAGCGUACACGGUGGAUGCCCUGGCAGUCAGAGGCGAUGAAGGACGUGCUAAUCUGCGAUAAGCGUCGGUAAGGUGAUAUGAACCGUUAUAACCGGCGAUUUCCGAAUGGGGAAACCCAGUGUGAUUCGUCACACUAUCAUUAACUGAAUCCAUAGGUUAAUGAGGCGAACCGGGGGAACUGAAACAUCUAAGUACCCCGAGGAAAAGAAAUCAACCGAGAUUCCCCCAGUAGCGGCGAGCGAACGGGGAGCAGCCCAGAGCCUGAAUCAGUGUGUGUGUUAGUGGAAGCGUCUGGAAAGGCGCGCGAUACAGGGUGACAGCCCCGUACACAAAAAUGCACAUGCUGUGAGCUCGAUGAGUAGGGCGGGACACGUGGUAUCCUGUCUGAAUAUGGGGGGACCAUCCUCCAAGGCUAAAUACUCCUGACUGACCGAUAGUGAACCAGUACCGUGAGGGAAAGGCGAAAAGAACCCCGGCGAGGGGAGUGAAAAAGAACCUGAAACCGUGUACGUACAAGCAGUGGGAGCACGCUUAGGCGUGUGACUGCGUACCUUUUGUAUAAUGGGUCAGCGACUUAUAUUCUGUAGCAAGGUUAACCGAAUAGGGGAGCCGAAGGGAAACCGAGUCUUAACUGGGCGUUAAGUUGCAGGGUAUAGACCCGAAACCCGGUGAUCUAGCCAUGGGCAGGUUGAAGGUUGGGUAACACUAACUGGAGGACCGAACCGACUAAUGUUGAAAAAUUAGCGGAUGACUUGUGGCUGGGGGUGAAAGGCCAAUCAAACCGGGAGAUAGCUGGUUCUCCCCGAAAGCUAUUUAGGUAGCGCCUCGUGAAUUCAUCUCCGGGGGUAGAGCACUGUUUCGGCAAGGGGGUCAUCCCGACUUACCAACCCGAUGCAAACUGCGAAUACCGGAGAAUGUUAUCACGGGAGACACACGGCGGGUGCUAACGUCCGUCGUGAAGAGGGAAACAACCCAGACCGCCAGCUAAGGUCCCAAAGUCAUGGUUAAGUGGGAAACGAUGUGGGAAGGCCCAGACAGCCAGGAUGUUGGCUUAGAAGCAGCCAUCAUUUAAAGAAAGCGUAAUAGCUCACUGGUCGAGUCGGCCUGCGCGGAAGAUGUAACGGGGCUAAACCAUGCACCGAAGCUGCGGCAGCGACGCUUAUGCGUUGUUGGGUAGGGGAGCGUUCUGUAAGCCUGUGAAGGUGUACUGUGAGGUAUGCUGGAGGUAUCAGAAGUGCGAAUGCUGACAUAAGUAACGAUAAAGCGGGUGAAAAGCCCGCUCGCCGGAAGACCAAGGGUUCCUGUCCAACGUUAAUCGGGGCAGGGUGAGUCGACCCCUAAGGCGAGGCCGAAAGGCGUAGUCGAUGGGAAACAGGUUAAUAUUCCUGUACUUGGUGUUACUGCGAAGGGGGGACGGAGAAGGCUAUGUUGGCCGGGCGACGGUUGUCCCGGUUUAAGCGUGUAGGCUGGUUUUCCAGGCAAAUCCGGAAAAUCAAGGCUGAGGCGUGAUGACGAGGCACUACGGUGCUGAAGCAACAAAUGCCCUGCUUCCAGGAAAAGCCUCUAAGCAUCAGGUAACAUCAAAUCGUACCCCAAACCGACACAGGUGGUCAGGUAGAGAAUACCAAGGCGCUUGAGAGAACUCGGGUGAAGGAACUAGGCAAAAUGGUGCCGUAACUUCGGGAGAAGGCACGCUGAUAUGUAGGUGAAGCGACUUGCUCGUGGAGCUGAAAUCAGUCGAAGAUACCAGCUGGCUGCAACUGUUUAUUAAAAACACAGCACUGUGCAAACACGAAAGUGGACGUAUACGGUGUGACGCCUGCCCGGUGCCGGAAGGUUAAUUGAUGGGGUUAGCGCAAGCGAAGCUCUUGAUCGAAGCCCCGGUAAACGGCGGCCGUAACUAUAACGGUCCUAAGGUAGCGAAAUUCCUUGUCGGGUAAGUUCCGACCUGCACGAAUGGCGUAAUGAUGGCCAGGCUGUCUCCACCCGAGACUCAGUGAAAUUGAACUCGCUGUGAAGAUGCAGUGUACCCGCGGCAAGACGGAAAGACCCCGUGAACCUUUACUAUAGCUUGACACUGAACAUUGAGCCUUGAUGUGUAGGAUAGGUGGGAGGCUUUGAAGUGUGGACGCCAGUCUGCAUGGAGCCGACCUUGAAAUACCACCCUUUAAUGUUUGAUGUUCUAACGUGGACCCGUAAUCCGGGUUGCGGACAGUGUCUGGUGGGUAGUUUGACUGGGGCGGUCUCCUCCUAAAGAGUAACGGAGGAGCACGAAGGUUGGCUAAUCCUGGUCGGACAUCAGGAGGUUAGUGCAAUGGCAUAAGCCAGCUUGACUGCGAGCGUGACGGCGCGAGCAGGUGCGAAAGCAGGUCAUAGUGAUCCGGUGGUUCUGAAUGGAAGGGCCAUCGCUCAACGGAUAAAAGGUACUCCGGGGAUAACAGGCUGAUACCGCCCAAGAGUUCAUAUCGACGGCGGUGUUUGGCACCUCGAUGUCGGCUCAUCACAUCCUGGGGCUGAAGUAGGUCCCAAGGGUAUGGCUGUUCGCCAUUUAAAGUGGUACGCGAGCUGGGUUUAGAACGUCGUGAGACAGUUCGGUCCCUAUCUGCCGUGGGCGCUGGAGAACUGAGGGGGGCUGCUCCUAGUACGAGAGGACCGGAGUGGACGCAUCACUGGUGUUCGGGUUGUCAUGCCAAUGGCACUGCCCGGUAGCUAAAUGCGGAAGAGAUAAGUGCUGAAAGCAUCUAAGCACGAAACUUGCCCCGAGAUGAGUUCUCCCUGACCCUUUAAGGGUCCUGAAGGAACGUUGAAGACGACGACGUUGAUAGGCCGGGUGUGUAAGCGCAGCGAUGCGUUGAGCUAACCGGUACUAAUGAACCGUGAGGCUUAACCUUACAACGCCGAAG
rnacentral:rRNA from 1 species